CCUACGGGAGGCAGCAGUCGGGAAUAUUGCGCAAUGGAGGAAACUCUGACGCAGUGACGCCGCGUGCAGGAAGAAGGUUUUCGGAUUUUAAACUGCUUUAGACAGGGAAGUAAAAAGACAGUACCUGUAGAAUAAGCUUCUGCUAACUACGUGCCAGCAGCCGCGGUAAUACGUAGGGAGCAAGCGUUAUCCGGAUUUAUGGGGUGUAAAGGGUGCGUAUACGGAGAAGCAAGUUAGUUGUGAAUUCCCUCGGCUUAACUGAGGAACUGCAACUAAAACUACUUCCCUUGAGUACUGGAGAGGAAAGUGGAAUUCCUAGUGUAGCGGUGAAAUGCGUAGAUAUUAGGAGGAACACCAGUGGCGAAGGCGGCCUACUGGACGGUGACUGACGCUGAGGCUCGAAAGCGUGGGGAGCAAACAGGAUUAGAUACCCGUGUAGUC
rnacentral:rRNA from 1 species